GACGAACGCUGGCGGCGUGCUUAACACAUGCAAGUCGAGCGGUAAGGCCCUUUCGGGGGUACACGAGCGGCGAACGGGUGAGUAACACGUGGGUGACCUGCCCUUAGCUCUGGGAUAAGCCUGGGAAACUGGGUCUAAUACCGGAUAUGACUCCAUGACGCAUGUUGUGGGGUGGAAAGCCUUGUGCGGCUAGGGAUGGGCCCGCGGCCUAUCAGCUUGUUGGUGGGGUNAUGGCCACCAAGGCGACGACGGUAGCCGGCCUGAGAGGGCGACCGGCCACACUGGGACUGAGACACGGCCCAGACUCCUACGGGAGGCAGCAGUGGGGAAUAUUGCACAAUGGGCGGAAGCCUGAUGCAGCGACGCCGCGUGAGGGA
rnacentral:rRNA from 1 species